rnacentral:rRNA from 1 species
AACGAACGCUGGCGGCAUGCCUAACACAUGCAAGUCGAACGAGACCUUCGGGUCUAGUGGCGCACGGGUGCGUAACGCGUGGGAACCUGCCCUUAGGUUCGGAAUAACUCCCCGAAAGGGGUGCUAAUACCGGAUAAUGUCUUCGGACCAAAGAUUUAUCGCCUUUGGCUGGGCCCGCGUUGGAUUAGCUAGUUGGUAGGGUAAAAGCCUACCAAGGCGACGAACCAUAGCUGGUCUGAGAGGAUGAUCAGCCACACUGGGACUGAGACACGGCCCAGACUCCUACGGGAGGCAGCAGUGGGGAAUAUUGGACAAUGGGCGAAAGCCUGAUCCAGCAAUGCCGCGUGAGUGAUGAAGGCCUUAGGGUUGUAAAGCUCUUUUACCCGGGAUGAUAAUGACAGUACCGGGAGAAUAAGCUCCGGCUAACUCCGUG